rnacentral:rRNA from 1 species
AGUGAACGCUGGCGGUAGGCCUAACACAUGCAAGUCGAACGGCAGCACAGUAAGAGCUUGCUCUUAUGGGUGGCGAGUGGCGGACGGGUGAGGAAUACAUCGGAAUCUACUUUUUCGUGGGGGAUAACGUAGGGAAACUUACGCUAAUACCCCAUACGACCUACGGGUGAAAGCAGGGGAUCUUCGGACCUUGCGCGAUUGAAUGAGCCGAUGUCGGAUUAGCUAGUUGGCGGGGUAAAGGCCCACCAAGGCGACGAUCCGUAGCUGGUCUGAGAGGAUGAUCAGCCACACUGGAACUGAGACACGGUCCAGACUCCUACGGGAGGCAGCAGUGGGGAAUAUUGGACAAUGGGCGCAAGCCUGAUCCAGCCAUACCGCGUGGGUGAAGAAGGCCUUCGGGUUGUAAAGCCCUUUUGUUGGGAAAGAAAAGCAGCAGGUUAAUACCCCGCUGUUCUGACGGUACCCAAAGAAUAAGCACCGGCUAACUUCGUG